rnacentral:rRNA from 1 species
UACGUAGGGUGCAAGCGUUAAUCGGAAUUACUGGGCGUAAGGCGUGCGCAGGCGGUUAUGUAAGACAGGUGUGAAAUCCCCGGGCUUAACCUGGGAACUGCAUUUGUGACUGCAUAGCUAGAGUACGGCAGAGGGGGAUGGAAUUCCGCGUGUAGCAGUGAAAUGCGUAGAUAUCGAGAGGAACACCUGCGGCGAAGGCGGGUUGCUGGGCUGAUACUGACGCUGAGGCGCGAAAGCCAGGGGAGCGAACGGG